rnacentral:rRNA from 1 species
AGAGUUUGAUCAUGGCUCAGGGUUAACGCUGGCGGUAUGUAUAAUACAUGCAAGUCGAACGCAUCUUCGGAUGAGUGGCGGACGGCUGAGUAACACGUUGGAACCUGCCCCGAACUCAGGGAUAACCCUCCGAAAGGAGGGCUAAUACCGGAUGGUCCCGCAAGGGUAAAGAUUUUUCGGUUCGGGAGGGGCCUGCGGCUUAUCAGCUAGUUGGUGAGGUAAUGGCUCACCAAGGCUAUGACGGGUAUCUGGUGUGAGAGCACGACCAGACAGAAUGGGACUGAGACACGGCCCAUACUCCUACGGGAGGCAGCAGUAAAGAAUCUUCCACAAUGGGCGAAAGCCUGAUGGAGCAAUACCGCGUGGGCGAUGAAGGUCGAAAGAUCGUAAAGCCCUUUUCUGAGGGAAGAAUUCCGACGGUACCUCAGGAAUAAGCACCGGCUAACUCCGUGCCAGCAGCCGCGGUAAUACGGAGGGUGCAAGCGUUACCCGGAAUUAUUGGGCGUAAAGCGUCCGCAGGCCGUCUGUUAAGUUAAAUGUAAAAUCUUGAAGCCCAACUUUAAGUUUGUGUUUAAAACUGGCAGACUAGAGUUUUCCAGAGGCAUGUGGAAUUCUGUGUGUAGGGGUAAAAUCCGUUGAUACGCAGAGGAACACCAAAAGCGAAGGCAGCAUGCUGGGGAAAUACUGACGCUCAUGGACGAAAGCGUGGGGAGCGAACGGGAUUAGAUACCCCGGUAGUCCACGCCGUAAACACUGGAUACUAGGUGUUGGGAGGAUUCAACCCCUUUCAGUGCCAAAGCUAACGCAUUAAGUAUCCCGCCUGGGGAGUACGGUCGCAAGAUUAAAACUCAAAGGAAUAGACGGGGACCCACACAAGCGGUGGAGCACCUGGCUUAAUUCGAUAAUGAGCGAGGAACCUUACCUGGGCUUGACAUCCCGAGAAUCCCUUAGAAAUAGGGGAGUGCCUUACGGAACUCGGUGACAGGUGCUGCAUGGUCGUCGUCAGCUCGUGCCUUGAGGUGUUCGGUUAAGUCCGUAAACGAGCGCAACCCAUGUCCUGUGUUGCUUAUUUCACAGGAGACCGCCGGUUCCAAACCGGAGGAAGGUAUGGAUGACGUCAGAUCAGCAUGGCCCUUAUGCCCAGGGCUGCACAGGUGCUACAAUGGCCAGUACAAUGGGUAGCAAUGCCGCGAGGCGGAGCCAAUCCCCAAAGCUGGUCUCAGUUCGAAUUGGAGGCUGCAACUCGCCUCCAUGAAGCCGGAAUCGCUAGUAAACGCGGAUCAGCAAUGGCGCGUUGAAUGUGUUCCUGGGUCUUGUACUCACCGCCCGUCACACUAUGAAAGGUGGGGGCGCCCGAAGUACCCUUAGCUUUACGGCGGGGUCCUAAGGUGAAACCACUGAUUGGAGUGAAGUCGUAACAAGGUA